rnacentral:rRNA from 1 species
AGGAUGAACGCUGGCGGCGUGCUUAACACAUGCAAGUCGAGCGGAAAGGCCCUUCGGGGUACUCGAGCGGCGAACGGGUGAGUAACACGUGAGCAACCUGCCCUUAGCUUCGGGAUAGCUCCGGGAAACCGGAAUUAAUACCGGAUAUGACUAUGGCCGACAUCAGCCAUGGUGGAAAGUUUUUCGGCUAGGGAUGGACUCGCGGCCUAUCAGCUAGUUGGUGAGGUAACGGCUCACCAAGGCGACGACGGGUAGCCGGCCUGAGAGGGCGACCGGCCACACUGGGACUGAGACACGGCCCAGACUCCUACGGGAGGCAGCAGUGGGGAAUAUUGCGCAAUGGGCGAAAGCCUGACGCAGCGACGCCGCGUGGGGGAUGAAUGCCUUCGGGUUGUAAACCCCUUUCAGCAGGGACGAAGCGAAAGUGACGGUACCUGCAGAAGAAGCGCCGGCUAACUACGUGCCAGCAGCCGCGGUAA